UGACCGCGCGGAGUUCGCUCUGGGGUGCUUCAGCAGUGUGCCAGUGAAUCCUCGGGACAAGGCGCCAAAGUGUCCACCCACCCCACUUGGAAGGGCUGGGCAAAGGUUGCACGUGGCUCGUCAAGCCGGCCUUGCCUCGGAAACUCCACCAGUGAUGCGGCUGCCCACGGUGGCCUGCUCUGGGUGCUUAGGGUGUGUGAGUUGCCUCACCCCCCCCACCUCCACCCCCCGGCUUGUCGAAAACCGCGCCCUAUCAUUGGAGCCGAGGGAAAGAGGGGUGUCCAUUUGGGGACCCAGUGUGACCCGCGACUGGCGGUAGCUGCGGGGAGGGCACGCUCUAGCUCCUGCGUUUACCAAGGGCCAGGGACUUUAAUGGGUACAGUUCCACCCACUUUGCAAAUUAGGAAAUUGAGGCUUCCCGGCAGGUUAAACCAAGUGGUCCUGCGCGACGAGAAAGAAGUUGAGAUUUGGAGGCAAGCCUUAUUCAGAGGCCGGUCUUUUCUCAUGCAUAGCAGGACAAUGAAGAAAGAGCAGCCCUCCCCACCGUUCAUGGUUAGACAUUUACUCUCAAGCUUAGACUCAUCUUCCUCUCUUCCUUCUUUGCUCUGACAAACCUGGAGCGCCGACAGGUCGCCACACACUUUUUAAGGGGAGAGAGAGAGCACGGAGCUCGGGUGCCAGCAAGGGAGCCAGACACACGCAGAGAAGGACUAUGUCGGGUUGUGUUUGUCACUGAGUGACCACCCCUAGGGUGGGCGGCCACAAAGGGAGGAGACCUUUGAACAAUGACUUCAUACACAAGCAGCCCUGAGAGGAUAGGGUCAGAGACCACCAGGAAAAGCCACUGGAGUCAGUUCCGCUCCCCAGUGCUCGGCCUGCGUUCGGUUAGAAGGACCCGUCCAUCCACUGUGGCAGAGAAGCGCCAGGCCUGGCUUUUGGAGCUGAGUCCCCAGCCUCCCUACCUGUUUUCAAUGAGAUGGAAAUCAGGUGCACGUUGCCCAGCUUCUCACGUGACCUCUCUCUAAAUAAGCAGUAAGCAACUGCAAAACUCAGAAUGCUAAUAAUGGCCUAUAUUGAGUGAAAAGAGCUAAUUUGGGCAAUGAUGUUUCCCUCGGAUUUACAAAAGGGAAUUGCAAAUAACCAAACAGUAAUAGCACUGAUGGGAGAUGAUGCUAAACUUCAAUCAGCACCCGCGUUAGUUAUUCACAUAUUUAGAAGGGAACCUUUUCGACACAGUGGCUGCGCACACGCGUUACGGUGACAGGGUAUGAACAUGGUGGUCAUCCUUGAGGUGUGACAGCCCCAGAAGGAUCUGCAGGAGCUACUGUAGACCAGGUCAUUUCAGGCCUGCUGAGGAGAACAGUGCUCUCCUCAGCCUGGAAGGCCCAACAGUAGUGGAGGACACUACUGUGAUUUGGGCCUAAAGUUUCAUUCAGAGGUGGAAACAAACGGAAGGAAAUUCAGCCACAGGGCACCGCUGCUCCUGAAGAAAUGAAUGUUUUCCUCCCAGAACUGAAUUACUGGUGUGCUGGGACUGGCAAAGACCAUGGAGGCCUGCUAAAGGAUGCUGCCCUCUGUGUGGUGAUGUACCCAAAUUUACCGUCAGCAAAGACCGAGCAGAUGGGGCUAUCUAGUCGUGGACUUCAACACUCCCAAACUGUAAGCUGUAUAAGCCUCUCUUCUGUAUAGACAGAUUCCAGCCUCAGAAAACAGAUAAUGGGUGCAUGGAGGAGACAGAAUGGAUGUGGUAUGAGACUGGAGGAGAGGUCACAUGAAGGAACCCCUUCCGGGGAGAAUCAAGUGGAUCAUGACUUCACAGGAAGUCCCAUUCUCCCAGGACAUAGGCACUAAAGCAGAGAAGUGCGGGUGUUGUCCAGGACUGGCUCUGCCAGCUAUCUUGGAGCUACAGUGGCAGCAGAGCCUCUGUACCCUUCAGGGUCAUUGACUUCUCUCCACUCUGCAGACCUGAGAUGUCUGCAGACAGAAAUGUGGAUAGUCUUCCCUGAUUGCCUUGGGCUGCAGAACCCCAAGGGACAAGGGUUUCUCUGUGUAGCCCUGGUGUCCUGGAACUCACGACCUGGCUGGCCUUGAACUCACAGAGAUCUGCCCGCCUCUGCCUCCUGAACACUGGGAUUAAAGAUGUGCACCAGCACAUCCAGCAUUUUUAUUAAAUUUUAAUUAUUUAAGUGUGUAAAGAUUAUCCUCAGUUGCACAAGACCCUGUCUCAAAAGUCAGAAAAAAAUGGUUUGUGGUGGGGAGCUGGUGACAUUGUUCAGCAAGUAAUGUGCUUGUCACCUAAGACUGUCAACCUGCCUUUGGGCUCUGGAAACCACAUGGGAGGAGAGAGAUUGCCCUCUGACUUCCACAUGUGUGCCAUGGAGCAUGCACAAGCCCCCAUCAUAUACACACAAUGGUAAUGUUUAAAAAAAAAAAUAGAGGAGGAGGAGCUGAAUCUAAGGGCAGACCUGUUAGCUUCUGCCUGAGUCAGCAUGUCUGUUUCAUUUGCUCCUUCAGAUAUUGGCACCAAGGACUCUGAUGUCACUCAUCCCCUGGGCACACUGACAGUGGCUGUGGUACACAGCAGGAAACUGCUUCAUAAUAGUCCCAGUGGCCCCUCUGCUGACUCUGGAUCACCCUGAACCAAGCCUUUCCACGUUCCAGGCUGACUUCUCUUCCAGGAUGGAAUUCCUGACCUUGCUGGCCAGGGCUAGGGCAGUGGGGGGGGGGGGCAGAUGAGAAAGGGCAUUGGAUAAUCCAGAGAGGUCUGCACCCUCUCCCAGAGAACCACUCCCCUUACCUGGUGAGGAGUCACUUGUCCCCAUCCCCCAUAAGGAAAGACUUGAAAAACCAGAAAAUGAGAGUGCCAAGAUGAACCAUCACAUUGUGUUAAUAUUUUCACACCACUUAACUCUCAUUAAAAUGUACUUUGCUGAAUUUAAUAUGUGAUUUCAAAUGACACAACAUAUUAAGUGCUUAAUAUACUAGAAAUUAUGAAACUAUUAUAGUCGAUGCCAUAUGAAAUAAUUAGAGUGAAUUAAACUUUAGCAGCCGAGUGAAGGCAAGGCUUCAACUUAUAAUAUCUGCAAGUCGCUCAAGCCACCGCUGUAAUCCCCCAAAUAAAUGUCCAGAAAUUAGGCUCUUUAAAUAAAAACUGAAUUUCAUGUGUAUU